rnacentral:rRNA from 1 species
UGGGGAAUAUUGGACAAUGGGCGAAAGCCUGAUCCAGCCAUGCCGCGUGUGUGAAGAAGGUCUUCGGAUUGUAAAGCACUUUAAGUUGGGAGGAAGGGCAGUAAGCGAAUACCUUGCUGUUUUGACGUUACCGACAGAAUAAGCACCGGCUAACUCUGUGCCAGCAGCCGCGGUAAUACAGAGGGUGCAAGCGUUAAUCGGAAUUACUGGGCGUAAAGCGCGCGUAGGUGGUUCGUUAAGUUGAAUGUGAAAGCCCCGGGCUCAACCUGGGAACUGCAUCCAAAACUGGCGAGAUAGAGUAGGGCAGAGGGUGGUGGAAUUUCCUGUGUAGCGGUGAAAUGCGUAGAUAUAGGAAGGAACACCAGUGGCGAAGGCGACCACCUGGGCUCAUACUGACACUGAGGUGCGAAAGCGUGGGGAGCAAACAGG